GUGGGGAUAUAGCUCAGUUGGUAGAGUGCUUGUCUCACAUGCAUAGAGCCCUGGGUUCAAUCCCCAGCACCACA
rnacentral:tRNA from 1 species